UAGGAUAGCAUAAUAUUAGUCGCACAUAUUACAAACACAUAUCCUAACAUAUUUGGUUAUUUUUUCGGUUCGGGAGACAUAAUUUUUGCGGAUGUUGAUUAUGUGUAAUUUUUCUUUUUCAAUUGGUGAGGUUUAACGACAAUCUUAUUUUUGUGGUAGUAUCCUAACAUAUUUGAUCAUUUUUUAGGUUCAUGGGACAUAUUUACGCCUAAAAUCUUGGCAGAUGAUGGUCAUGUGUAAUCUUUCUUUUUCAAUUGGUUAUGUUUAAUGACAAUCUCACCUUUGUAAAUACUGUGCAUGGGGUAUUUAUAUUGAAUAGUGUACUUUGCAAAUUUAUUCAUAUAUUUGUUACAAAGACAAAUUAGGAGAACAAAAAAUAAGUUUAUCUUAAUGAUGGAGGAAACAUAAGUUAGAGAGAGAAAAGAAGAAUAGAAGAAAAGAAGGAAAGAGAAACAAAAGGGAAAAAAGGAAAGAUAAAUUCGGACAUCUCUUUCUUCUUUGUACGGGAUGUGUCAAAAAUUUUGAAUUUUGUCUUCUCCUUUUUCAUAUUUUUAAUUUCCUCCCUUUUCCUUAUUUUUUUUUUGAUUUAUCAUAAACACAAGAAAUUUUGAAAAAAAUACCAAAGAGGUGUAGCGGGUGUGUGUAUAUAUUCUAUUCUAUUCCUAUUCCUAUUUCUAUUUGUAUUUCUAUUUCUACUUAUAUAGAAGAGCGAAGAAGCAGCUCUCCGUCGACAUCCCUGCUUGCCGACGGAGGGCAAUUGGGUAUUUGCACUGUCCUAUAUUAGGUAAAAUUCCUGUUGUAUUCCGCACUAACUGAUUUCUGUUAUUCAGGGAAAGACUACUUAGUUUCACAUUUGCUCACUAAGAUGAAAGAUUUUGUUUUAUCUCAAGUUUAUCGAUUUUGCUGCUACUUUCGACAUCAUCGGUCAAUUGAAGCUCUCUGCGUAAGAAACCUGGGUCACUGACUUGAACGCACGUUCACCGAAAAGAAACCGAAAGACUUGAAAUUGAUGUUUGAUUCGCCAGCUGCACAAAUUCUCCUUCUAUUUUCAGAACAAGAGUUUCUUUUGGCAACCGAUUUACCCGAAUACUUUUGGUUGGAAUAAAGGAGAGUGGACAUCAACUGGGAUUAAUAAGUUGAAAAGAUUUGGUACAUUAUACCUUUUCUAGAUGCUCUCCAGAUGAGUGCAAAUACGUGCAGUUUUUGAAUUUUCAUGGUUAAGCUGUUGGCACUGUAAAGUGAAUUACGGAAUGCAAAUGUGAAUUAACUAUGUUGGAGUUUUUUUUCUC